rnacentral:rRNA from 1 species
GACGAACGCUGGCGGCGUGCUUAACACAUGCAAGUCGAACGAUGAACCCGGAGCUUGCUCCGGUGGAUUAGUGGCGAACGGGUGAGUAACACGUGAGUAACCUGCCCUUGACUCUGGGAUAACUGCGGGAAACUGUAGCUAAUACCGGAUACGACCCUCGGCGGCAUCGCCAGGGGGUGGAAAGAAUUUCGGUCAAGGAUGGCCUCGCGGCCUAUCAGCUAGCUGGUGAGGUAACGGCACAUCAAGGCGACGACGGGUAGCCGGCCUGAGAGGGUGACCGGCCAGAAUUGGACUGGAACACGUCCCAGACACCUACGGGAGGCAGCAUUGGGGAUUAUGGCACAAUGGGCGCAAGCUGGAUGCAUCAACGCCGCGUGAGUGAUGACUGCCUUCGGGUUGUAAACCUCGUUUAGUAGGGAAGAAGCGAAAGUGACGGUACCUGCAGAAACAGCACCGGUUAACUACGUGCCAGCAGCCGCCGUAA